rnacentral:sRNA from 1 species
AAAAUGGACCGCCUGGGCGGUCCA